CCUCUUCAGGCUGGUGGUGGCCAUUUUGGAGGCCACCACACAUGUGCACUGGCCAUUUGUGUGACCAAAGUCACCUGAACAGGGCUGAUUGGAGACCGGAAGGAGGCUGGCGGCAGAGAGGGAAUCACCGGAGACCCCACUGUGGCCACAGCAGCGCCCCACCCCCACCCCGCUGGAGGCAGGAAGGAUGGCCAAACUUACGAAUUCCGGGAUGAAAAGGACAUCAGGAAAGCUACCCAGGGCCCGGAUGCCACUGGGUAGGGAGGCACCAGCGGUUGUUGAAGACAUCUUGCAGGCUACGUCCCAGAAACACCACACAAGUCCUCUCAGUGCAAAACCAGCCUCCUAUUGCUUUUUUCCUCUUGGGCAGAUGUACCCGUCGCUAAUGCCAUGCGUGGCAGCUAUCGCGAGAAUUUGCGAGCAGCUUCUGAUAGCAGCGGGGAUGGUGAGAAGAAGAAUAUGGCGGCAGUGGCAGCGGCUGGCCCAUUGGCUGGCUGAAGAAAACC